CAGUAUUUUUUUUAUCUUAAUUUUUCCAAUGAAUCAAUGCAGACUUACAUUCCAUUGAAUCAAGACAGCUUGACAUUCCAAUGAAUCAAUACAGCUUUUAAUUCCCAUGAAUCAAUACAGCUUUACAUUCAUGUGGAUCAAUACAGAUAAACAUUCCAUAAGAUCAGUGCAGCCUUAUAAAACGACAGCUUUGUGAAAAAUUGAGAAAAUCCUGCUACAAGCAUUAAAUUUUGCAUAGACCUUCCUCAACUAUUACUCACUUCCGGUAAAAUCCAAAAUGGCGG
rnacentral:lncRNA from 1 species